rnacentral:rRNA from 1 species
AUUGAACGCUGGCGGCAGGCCUAACACAUGCAAGUCGAACGAGUGGCGGACGGGUGAGUAAUGUCUGGGAAACUGCCUGAUGGAGGGGGAUAACUACUGGAAACGGUAGCUAAUACCGCAUACCAUCGGAUGUGCCCAGAGGGGAUUAGCUAGUAGGUGGGGUAACGGCUCACCUUGGCGACGAUCCCUAGCUGGUCUGAGAGGAUGACCAGCAACAGUGGAACUGAGACACGGUCAAGACUCCUACGGGAGGCGACAGUGGGGAAUAUUGCACAUUGGGCGCAAGCCGGAUGCAGCCAUGCCGCGUGUAUGAAGAAGGCCUUCGGGUUGUAAAGUACUUUCAGCGGGGAGGCGUUACCCGCAGAAGAAGCGCCGGCUAACUCCGUGCCAGCAGCCGCGGUAAUAC